UUUUUUGAGGUAAAAAACGUGAGUUAGACUACUCGAAACUACACUUGUAGGUAUCAUCAAUUUAGAGGUAGGUAUUAGCCACUGUAAGGUUGUUAUUGGAAACUUAGAUGUAGACAUAUUUAUUAAAAAUUUAGAGGUAGAUAUUAGUCACUUUGAGGUAGGUAUUACUUUAUUAGCAAGUUAAACGUACGGGAGAUAUAAGGGUGAAAAGUUAAUUAUUAGUUAGACGUAGUUAUUGAUGAACUCCCCGUAGUUAUAACCAACUUAAAGGUAUUUAUUAUCAAUUUAAAGAUAGAUAUUAGUAAUUUUGAGGUAAAUAUAGUNNNNNNNNNNNNNNNNNNNNNNNNNNNNNNNNNNNNNNNNNNNNNNNNNNNNNNNNNNNNNNNNNNNNNNNNNNNNNNNNNNNNNNNNNNNNNNNNAAAAUGAUAUGAAAAAAUAUUUUUAUAUAAUACCUAAACAGCCCAUUAAGAUCUCAGCUGUUAGAUUGAAAAGGGUUGAAUGAAAAUAAUCUUAUGGCUUAGAUUUCUUAUGUAGUCUGUUAAAGGGCGCCUUAAGCACCAGAACCAGAAGUGGGUGGUCCUUUUUUACAGUUCAUUACUAUUGUUAUUUAUUUUUGUUUUUUUCCUUUUUGGUUUUACUUUUUUUGAAGCGUUACGGUUUGACAUAUAUUUUUCAAAAUGUUAUUUUUUUAUUUUNNNNNNNNNNNNNNNNNNNNNNNNNNNNNNNNNNNNNNNNNNNNNNNNNNNNNNNNNNNNNNNNNNNNNNNNNNNNNNNNNNNNNNNNNNNNNNNNNNNNNNNNNNNNNNNNNNNNNNNNNNNNNNNNNNNNNNNNNNNGGACAGCGAGGUAUGGUGGUCGCAAUGCGGCGGGACUGCAGGGGUCUCCAAACAAAUUUGCAAGGUCACGGCCUAGUAGAUAGAGAUAGGUUCUAAAAAACCGCAAAUCUGAUACAUGUUAUAUGUUACGUGUUAUGUUUUAUAUGAUGUUUUAAUUCUAAAUUGAAUUAUAUGAUAUUGAUAUAUAUAUAUAUAUAUGUUUUAAAACUAAGAACAAAGAAGAGAACAAGAACAUGGGAGGAGAAGUACUUUCUUAUUGAGGUGUGUGGAAUGCUACAAAUGAGAGCUCUAUUUAUAGGCUCAUGAAAUCAUAACCUACACUCUCUAAUAUUAUUACACAUAAAAGAGGGGAAUGAAAUACAUUGAAUCAUACACAUAAAGGAGGGGAAUAAAAUACAUUAACCAUAGAAUGAGGAGUUACACAAUUGGGCAUUCACUACAUUAUUAUCUUCAUAACACUCCCCCUUGAAUGUCCAUUGGUUAACGAUAUACAUCAUUCUUUGAAUACGCGUUUGAUACUGCCUCGUUAAAAACCUUACCAGGAAAACCCAGUGGGAAAAACCAUGGUUAAGGGAAAAAGAGUGCAGUGCGUAUCAACUCCCCCUAAUGAUGAUAUCAAUUGAAGUCCCUCAGUCGCCGAACUCCAAUUUUCCGAACUAGUCUCUCAAAUGUUGAUGGCGGAAGAGCCUUAGUGAAUAAAUCAGCCAAGUUAUCACUUUGAGCGUACUUGUUUGACAGUGAUGUCACCAUUCUUUUGAAGGUCAUGAGUGAAGAAGAAUUUAGGAGAGAUAUGUUUUGUUCUAUCUCCUUUGAUGUAUCCCUCUUUCAAUUGUACGAUGCAUGCAGCAUUAUCUUCAUGCAAGGGUGUCGGGGCCAUCUUUUCAUAAGUUAAUCCGCACGAGUUUUGAAUAUGUUGAAUUAUAGACCUCAACCAAACACAUUCACGACUAGCCUCAUGUAUUGCUAAAAUCUCAGCAUGGUUAGAUGAUGUGGCGGUAAGUGUUUGUUUCACAGAGCGCCAAGAAAUUGCUGUAUCACCACAUGUGAAUAAAUAACCAGUUUGUGAUCGGCUAGUAUGAGGGUCAGAUAGGUAUCCAGCAUCUGCAUAUCCUACCAAAUCUGCUUUUGAUUCAUUCGAGAAGAAUAAUCCCAUAUCUUGUGUUCCUUGCAGAUAGCGAAGUAUAUGUUUGACACCAUUCCAAUGUCUUCGUGUGGGAGAAGAACUAUAUCUUGUUAAUAAAUUAACGACAAAUGAUAUAUCGGGUCUUGUAUGACCGACAAGGUACAUUAGUGCACUGAUUGCACUAAAAUAAGGUACUUCAGGACCAAUUAGUUCUUCAUCACUUUCCCAAGGUCUGAAGGGAUCUUUUUUCACAUCUAGUGAUCUGACAACCAUUGGGGUACUCAAUGGAUGUGAUUUAUCAAUGUAAAAUUGUUUCAACACUUAAGUAGUGUAUCCUUCUUGAUGCACAAAAAUACCGUUUGGUAGGUGCUCAACCUGCAAACCAAGACAAUAUUUUGUCCGCCCCUAAUCUUUCAUCUCAAAUUCCUUUUUCAACCAGGUGAUUGCUUUAGUAAGCUCAUUGGGAGUCCCAAUGAUAUUUAUGUCAUCAACAUAAACCGAAAUGAUGACGAACUCGGUUCCUAAUCUUUUUAGGAAAACACAUGGACAUAUUUGAUUAUUUGCAUAUCCUUCUUUGAUUAAAUAUUCACUAAGGCGGUUAUACCAUAUUCUGCCAGAUUGUUUCAAUCCAUAUAAGGAUUUAUUCAAUUUGAUCGAAUAACGUUCUCCAGAAAUUGAUUUGUAAGCUUGAGGCAGAUGAAAUCCUUCAGGAAGUUUCAUAUAGAUAUCGUUAUCAAGUGAUCCAUAUAAAUAGGCAGUUACGACAUCCAUGAGACGCAAAUCUAAUCCUUCUCGAAUUGCCAGACUGAUCAAAUAACGAAAAGUAGUUGCAUCCACCACAGGAGAAUAUGUCUCCUCAUAAUCAAUUCUGGGUCUUUGUGAAAAUCCUUGUGCAACAAGGCGUGCUUUGUACCUAGAAUUUCACCAUUUUCAUUACGCUUUCUUACAAAAACCCAUUUUUACCCGACGGGGUUGACACCAUCAGGUGUAAGGACCACAGGUCCAAAAACUUUUCGUUUUUCAAGAGAAUGUAAUUCUGCCUUAACUGCGUCAUUCCAUUUUGGCCAAUCCUUUCGUUUUUUGCAUGCAUUCAUGGAUUUUGGCUCAUAAUCCUCAUUUUCAUCAAUAACAUUCAGCUUUCGUUUCUUGCAUGCAUUCAUGGAUUUUGGCUCAUGAUCUUCAUUUUCAUCAAUAACAUUCAGCGCUGAAUUAUAAGCAAAAAUUUCAUCGAUGUUAACUGUAUUGCGGUUCCAUUGUUUACCAUCCAAGACAUAGUUGAUUGAGAUCUCAUUAUUUUCAAUAUGUUCAGGUACCUGAUGCUGUUCUUGUGCUGAUAUAUCAGCAAUGUUUGGUAGCUUAUCCUCGAUUGGACCAUCUUGACUGAUAUAUCAACGAUGUUUGGUGGCUUAUCCUCGAUUGGACCAUCUUGAUUUACAGCUCCUUUUCUUUUUCGAGGAUUUUUAUCUUUGGAACCGAUAGGUCUACCACGCUUCAGAUGUGGUUUAGACUCAUUUAUAUUUUCAUGAUGUCCAAUAGGGACAUCUACUCUUGAUGGAGCAUUCAUUGCUGGAACAUGAGAUUUGGUUACUCGAUGUGGGUCAGUCAAAGCGUCUGCAAAUUAAUUCGCUAAACUUUGUAAAUGAAUUAUAUUUUGAAUUUCUAGUUCACAUUGUCUAGUACGAUGAUCAUAAUGAGAUAAUGCUUAUUCAUUCCAACUGCUCUCUUUGUCCAGCUUGUUAUUUUCUCCCCCUAAUGUUGGUUUUCUCCCCCUAAUGUUGGGAAAACUGAUUCAUCAAAGUGACAAUCAGCAAAACGAGCUGUGAAUAGAUCUCCUGUCAUUGGUUCUAAAUAUUUUAUAAUCGAGGGAGACUCAUACCCAACAUAAAUUCCCAACCUCCUUUGAGGUCCCAUCUUAGUGCGUUGUGGUGGUGUAAUAGGGAUAUAAACAUCACAUCCAAAUAUUCAUAGAUGGGAUAUAUUCGGUUCAUGAUCAAAAACCAUUUGUAAGGGGGAAUACUCGUGAUAACUUGUCGGCCUAAUGCGAAUUAAUAAUGUUGCAUGUAAGACAAUAUGGCCCCCAACAUGAAGUGGGAAGCUUUGCCUUCAUUAACAAUGGUCUUGCUAUUAACUGUAAGCGUUUGAUUAGAGAUUCUGCUAAACCAUUUUGUGUAUGAACAUGUGCUACAGGAUGUUCAACAUCAAUUCCGACAGACAUGCAAUAAUGUAUGAACAUGUGCUACGGGAUGUUCAACAUCAAUUCCGACAGACAUGGAAUAAUCAUUAAAAUAUUGUGAAGUAAAUUCACCAGCAUUGUCAAUGCGUAUCGUUUUUAUCGGAUAAUCCGGAAACUGUGCCCGUAAUCUGAUCAAUUGAGCAAGUAAUCGCGCAAAUGCCAAAUUACGAGUGGAUAAUAACGAUACAUGUGACCACUUAGUUGAUGCAUCAAUUAAAACCAUAAAAUAUCUAAAUGGUCCGCAUGAUGGAUGAAUUGGUCCACAAAUAUCGCCUUGAAUGCGUUCCAAAAAUGUGAGCGAUUCAUUUCUCACUUUUAUCGAUGAUGGUCGGAUAAUCAAUUUUCCUUGAGAACAUGCAAUACAAGCCAAAUCAUUCGAUUGGGGAAUUCGCUUACUCAUCAACGAGUGUCCAAGGGAAUUCUCAAGUAUUUUACGCAUCAUAAUUAUUCCGGGAUGGCCUAACCGGUUAUGCCAACUACAAAUCUAUCACGAUCCACAAACUUGGAGUUUAUAAUGGAAUCACUUUUAAUUGUACUAAUAAACGUGUAGUACAAACCGGAAGAAAUAGAUGGUAAUUUUUCAAGAUAACAUUUGUUACCAUCUACCAUAUUUGUGAUGGCAAUAUAUUCUCUAUUUUCUUCCUCAAUUGUCUCGAUGUGAUAUCAGUUGCAUUAGAUAUCUUUAUAACUUAAUAAGUUGCGACGAGACUUUAUAGAAUAUAAUGCAUCAUCAAUAUGCAUUCUAGUUCCUCUGUGUAGUAGCAAGGUUGCUCUUCCGGAGCCUUCAAUUAAAUUACUACUACCGGAUAUAGUGCUAACAUUAGCUUCUCGCAUCACUAGAUGAAAAAAAUACUUCUUAUCCUUUAGAAUAGUAUGAGUGGAAGCACUAUCGAUGAGACACACAUCCUCAUUUUUUAUGUUGUCGUGGAUGGCAGUAGUAUCCAUGCUAUAACACGAAAAUGAUAAUCCAUAUUAGAAGGGACAAUUAUGAUGGAAAAUUCAUUAAUAAAAAGAAACAAAAAAAGAAAACGAGAAAACACUUUCAAGAAAAACAAACUCAAACAAAUCAAAUGAUAACGAUAAUAUGGUGCAUACAUCAAGGCACCAUUUUGUAAUAAAAGAUAUCUCAACAACAAUCUUAUUUCUCAACAUUUCCAUCAUGAGGAGGAAAGAAGUCAGCAACAUCCAGAUGAGUGGUGUCAAAUUGGCCAUGGUUCAAAACACCUUCCUCAAUGACCAUAUUGGUUUCAACCGUCUUGUCUAUCCUUGACUCUUGGUAAAGAUUGAUAAGAUGUCUAGGUGUACGACAAGUGCGAGUCCAAUGAUCGCCGCCACAUCUAGUACACAUAUUUUGAAAGUUUCUGUUGCUAGACCCAACUCGUUCUUUAUUCAUUCGCCCAUCCCGUUGGAAAUGUGGACGAGAAGAGUGGUUGAAUCUCUGAAGGCGACCGCGACCAUAAUCACGUCCACGACCAUGGACAUUAUUGCGACAAUAUCCACCACCACGGUUAUGACCACGACCACGACUACCACCACGAUAUUGACAAAAAUUGUGACCGUUUGUCGCGUUAGCUUCCGGAUAUGGAGCCAUACCAGUGGGGCGUGAUUGGUGAUUCUUCAAUAAGAGGUCAUUGUUUUGCUCGGCCACUAAGAGACAUGAUAUUAAUUCAGAAUAUUUGGUGAAGCCCUUCUCCCGAUAUUGUUGUUGGAGAACUAUAUUGGAAGCAUGGAAAGUGGAAAAUGUCUUCUCGAGCAUUUCCUUAUCAGUGAUUUUCUCGCCACAUAGCAACAACUGCGAGCAAAUUUUGAAGAGGGCGAAAUUGUACUCGCUCACGGAUUUUGAAAUCUUCUAGGCGCAAAUGCACCCAAUUAUCAGGAGCUCAAGGGAGAAUCACCGUUCUCUGGUGGUCAUAUCGGUCUUUGAGAUUAUUCCACAAUUCGAGAGGAUCUUUGAUGGUGAGAUACUCGUUUUUAAGCCCUCAUCAAGAUGGUGGCGAAUAAAGAUCAAAUCCUUGGCUUUGUCUUGGGCAGAUGUUUCAGUAUCAUCGGUAAUCGUGUCGUCCAACUCUUUGGCUUGCAAAUGGAUGUCAGCAUCCAAGACCCACGAGAGGUAAUUUUUUCCUGAAACGCCAAGGGCCACAAACUCAAGUUUGGAAAUAUUUGACAUGCUAUAAAAGAAGCAAAUUGAAUUACAAUAAAACAUAUGAAAAAUGAUAUAAUAAUUAAAAUAGUAACGGUAAUGGAACGUUGAUUAACAUAGAAUUACAGAAUGCUUUAAGAAAUAAUAAUAAUAAUAGUGACAUACCCAUCUUGAAACAUAACUAUAUACACAUUUAAAUAGUCCUAAAGGUUUUCUCUUUUGGGUAGGAACAAAAGAAAAUGACAGAGGUAUUCAUGAAUUAUAAACAAAAUGCACCAAAUCAAAAGAGUUAACUACAACGAGAUGAUAAAUUUUAAUAUAUUUAUAUAACGGCUAAAAUAUCAUAUAUAUAUACUUGAAAAAAACAUCAAUAUGAUCAUUUAAAAUAGGAUGGAAUUAGAAAAAUGCAUAAAAGAUUUUAUAAGCAAAUAAAAGAACAAGAUAAAUAAUAAUAAUAAUAAUUUUGGAAAACAAGAUAUAGCAAAUGGCAACCUUCGUGAAACUUCGAGAAAAUAGGCAGAGCACUCGUGCUGAUAACGUGUUAUAAAACUAAGAUCAAAGAAGAGAACAAGAACAUGGGAGGAUAAGUACUUUCUUAUCGAGGUGUGUGGAAUGCUACAAAUGAGAGCUCUAUUUAUAGGCUCAUGAAAUCAUAACCUACACUCUCUAAUAUUAUUACACAUAAAAGAGGGGAAUGAAAUACAUUAAACCAUACACAUAAAGGAGGGGAAUAAAAUACAUUAAUCAUAGAAUGAGGAGUUACACAAUUUGACAUUCACUACAAUUAUCUUCAUAACACUCCUGACAAUAUUAAUUGAUCUUAUUAUUUAUAAUUUACUUGUUUUGAAUCACUGAAUGUGAAGAGUCUGAGGCAAAGAAGAGGAGAACGGAGUGGGAGAUUCAGCCGUUUGCACUUGGAUCAAGCACACUUUUCAGUCUAGGUAGGCUCUCCAUCUUUCUAUCACAAGUCAAACAACGUCGCUGAGUGGUGACGAGGUAGGCACAAGAAGAACCUCAUGUCUCAAUCUUUAGCUCCGACUUUGUUUCGCUGGGGAGUACAUCAACAACCCAAUCCAAGGAGGAAGUGGCUUGACUGCCACCCAAUCCAUAAUGAAGCUUCGAGGUUGGGAUUGUAAGGGACUAGAACGAACCGUAACAGUUGAUCACCUUCGGGUGUUAAACCAAUCUCAUCGCCUAACAAUCGACAUGCUCAUAGAGACGAAGAAUAAUCGAGACCUUUUGGAAGGAAGAUGUAUUUUUUUUUAUUUUUCUGAUUCCUUCUAUGUCCACCCAAUCGAAUCCGUCGGAGGCCUAGCCCUCUGAUGGAAGGCCAGACUAGGAAUUUCUAUUCUAGCUAGUGCAAGGAACUUUAUGCAUGUUUUUAUUUCGUAUGGUGCUGGUUUCUUUUUUAUGUUUGUUUAUGCGCCCGCCAUCCUAGCUGAAAGGAAUGCCUUCUGGGAUCGUGUGUCCAACCUCCAGCACGAUGAUAGACCCCGGAUGCUAGCCAGGGACUUUAACUCCAUCUUGCAUACCAACAGACCCUCCAUCACGAACCUCUCUCGCUCCCUUCAGAGACUUUGUUAACCUCAAAACCCUGGUAGACCCAGGCUUCAAUGGGAAUAGCUUCACCUGGACCAAUGGGCAACCAUAGACUCGACCAAACCUUGGCAAAUGCCUUUUGGGUCCAAACCUAUGAGCAGUUCCUUGUCUCGCACUAAAAGGACAUCGAUUCUAACAACCCAUAAUCACGGACCUAGUUGUAAACUUCUCAGCCAUCAUUAACAAUGCAUACGAUGAAGAGGGUUCAUCCAGCGUCAACCUAAAGAAAUUUUCAAACGAUCUCAGCCGCCUAGCCAUAAUCAUCCACAAAGGGAAACGACAAGCGGAAAAAAAUAUUAAAUCACAACUAAAUCAUUUGGGAUCAGAGCGCCAAUCCUCAAAAGCGAUUAAUGAAGAGAAACACUUAAAAGACGAACUACAAGAGAAGAAAAGGACGAAGAAGGAAAAUAGUUCCAGGUCUGCUCAAGUUCAAUAUUAGUGCAAAAGGGCUUUAAAUAGCCAAACGAUUUCCCGCAAGUGAGGGUUCUGUCAACUAUCGUGGCAUCGACUCCUGGGUUUGCAGUUUGGCGUUGCCGAGUUCACAUCGGAGAAAGAGAAUGACACUAAUUUCAGGUGCAGUUCACAUGGAUUGAGACAAGAAAAAGGAUCACAUUUACGAGUUACGCCGAUUAGUGGAGUUUAAUCAGUCAGGGAAGCGCUCAAAUAACUAUUUGACCGCUAUUGAGAGUUUGUCGGAUAAUUAGAGGUCGGCAGUCAAAGAUAAGGAAGACAAUGAGUAGGGCUAGGUUCAUAGAGCAAAACCUUGUCGUUUAUCCACUCGACGAAAAAGAAUGAAAAUGAUAAUGAAAUUGAUUCCUAUGAAACUCGAACUCAGAUUUGUAGAGUAACGGGUUGAAAGCCCAACCAGGUGUGCUACAUACAUAAUCUUUAAUUAAUUUUACAACCCCAUUUUAUUGUUUGUAAUCAAACCUUUCUAAUUAAUUCCAAUCUUAUUCCCUCUUAGCAUCUAAUUAACACUAUUAUUUAUUAAUACGGGUGCUUAACAAUAUUCAUCUAAAUUAAAUUCUUAACGAAGAUACAUAAAAUUUAGUAUAUAAAACACAUAAACAUUCAAUUCUAAGAUCAGGGCAUUACACUAGUUCCCCAAUGUCAAAUCCAGAUUUGAUAGGACUAGGAGGAUGGUUUUCAAAAUCGGUUUGGAGGUUGAUUCGAUGAGGGUAAGUGUUUAAGAUUUAAAGAUUCAAUUUGACAAAAAAAUGGAAAUUCAAACAACACAACCACGUCAUAUGACAUCACCAGCGAUCGCCAACGACAGACAUAUCAUAUCAGCUGGCCACCAAGCGCUUUUGCUGGCAACCACCACUGCUGUUUUCCACGACCUAGGACUGUCCCUGGCCAUCCUUCUGCGGUCACCGACCAACUUCACGGCCAACGGAGACCAUACUUGCAGCCAACAACUAUGAUUUCUUUGAACAAACACCAACGACUAUGUAGAUUAUUAUUUUUUAUUUUUUUAGAAAUUAAUUAAAUGAGUUACCAAACAUACACUUGAGUAAAAGGAUAUGUAUAAAUUUUCAUGAAUGUGUACAACAUAAUAUAGAAAAUAAGUGCUAAACUAUUUACACGUGUACAAUUGUAUGUAGUGGAUGUGUAUAAGAUAGAAAUAAGUACAUGCAAGAAAGGAGUGGAAAUAUAUGUACAAGAGUGUGUACCGUAUGUUGGUUUUAUGACUCAGGCCCAAUGCACUUAGGGUUAAGCCCGGGGUCACCCGUUGGAUGUGUCAGUCCAUGGUUGGCCCGCAGCCCAGCUAUAUAAGCAGAAGCCUUAGUUGACAGGUGAGACAAGAGAGAGAGUGCGCGUGCGAAUGAGAAAAGAAGGAGAGAAGACGGAGGGUUUCUCUGGAGAACUGCUUACACAGCUAGGGUUUGCGUCAUCGAAGCUUGUGUUGUUGCAUGUUCGUUCUGAGUAGUCCAGUCACUGGCUCUGCUCUUGUACUUGGAUUCUGCUCUUCGCGAUCUAGUGGAUUUCUGGGCUGAGUCUCCCCCUCCCGAGACUCUACAGAUUAGGGUCUUUGUGACCUGAACUGCGUCAUCAAUCUUGUUGUUGUGGAUGCUUAAUUUCUCGCUUGCUCGAUUUCUCGUAAUUAUUAGCGUUUAGUCAUUCCGCUGCUUGCUCGAUCCUUUUUGUUCAAUCUGGUAUCAGAGCCUGGUUGCUCUGGUUCCUUUGCUCAAGGUUCUUUGUUUCUCUGACCGUUUUCUUGUUUUCUUGAAACAUGUUAGAGGGUUAGCGCCUCUAACCAUUCGACGGGAACUGCGAUUUCGCGAUUUGGAAAAUUAAAAUGAAAGCUGUACUAGUAAAGGAGAAGUGCUGGGCUGCCAUCACUGAGAAUUGGCCAACCUCCAUUUCUGACCUAAGGAAGGAAGAAAUUCGGGAGAUAGUCCAUUCAGAGAUACUCAUCCGACUUGCUAAUGACAUUGUUCGUCAGGUGAUAAUAUUCUCUGACCCUAAAUCUUUGUGGGAAGGACUUGAGUCCAUUUUUGAAUCUAAAACUUUGCCUAAUAGAGUCUCUCUGCUUAGUAAACUGUUUACGUUCAAAAUGGAUGUCUCCUUGUCUCUGUCUGAAAAUUUUGAUAGCUUCCUUAGGAUGACUCAGGACCUAAAUCGUUGUGGUGAUGUUAUUGAUGAAACUCAUCAAGCUGUUUUGCUUAUUAACUCUAUGCUUGCUCAAUUUGAUAACUUGAAAGAUGUCAUUCAAUAUAGUAGGGACGAGCUCACUGUAAAGAAGAUUGCUGAGGCUAUCUCCCAAAUGGAUGAUACUCUCAGUCUUUAAACAGAAGCUCAGACCUAAGGGUGAACCUAAGACUGAAGUGUUAAUGGUUAAAGGCAACGAUAAAAAGACGAAUUGGAAGAAGAAGAAAACUAAUAAGGCUUCUUCCUCUUCCAACUCCAAAACAGUCACUUGCUUUUAUUAUGGUAAAGAAGGUCAUUAUGCUAAAGACUGUCACCAACGUGUUAAAGAUGAAAAAAUGAAAGAGUCUGAUAAGUCAAAUGUUUCGAAUUUGCUUGAAACUUGUCCUGAAUACUCUGAAUUGCUGCUGCUUGACUCUAAAUGCUCCUCUAAUAAUUGGAUUCUUGAUUAUGGUUGCAACAUUAAUGCUUCCCCUAGUCAUUUCCUGUUUAGCUCCUUGUCUGCUUGUAGUGAUGGUGAGGUCAUGUUAGGGGACCACACCACUUUAGAGAUUAAGAGAAUUGGGUCCAUCCCCAUGCGCAUGCAUGAUGGGGUGGUUAGAUUAAUUCAAAAUGUCAGGUGGGUUCCUGCUUUGAGAAGGAACCUCCUUUCAGAAUCAAUGUUAGAUGACAUGAAUUGUCAAAUCAUCACCCAUAAUGGUAUAAAGGAUGUGAUUAAGCAUGGUUCUGUUGUGAUUCGUAGCAUCAAACGUGAUGGUCUUUAUCAUUUGGUCGGGUCUCCUGAGUUAAACUCAGCUGAGCAUAAUGUCAAACAUGGUGAUCUUGCUUACACCAAACUGUGGCAUUCUAGGCUUGGUCACAUUGGUAACCAUGGCAUGUUACACUUGUUCAAACACGGUCUUCUCGAGAAACAUCCAUAUGAUCUUUCUUUUUGUGAAGAUUGUGUGUUUGGUAAGAAAACUAGGCACAGUUUCAGUAAGUCUACUUACGUAGCUGAAAAGCCUCUAGAGUAUGUUCACUCUGAUCUUUGGGGCCUUGCCCAAGUGGAUACUAUUGGAGGGAAGAAAUGUUUGCUGUCCCUAAUAGACCGCUUCUCUCGGAAAGUCUGGAUAAGACUUCUGAAAGCUAAGAGCAAUGCUUUUGAGUCUUUCAAGGACUGCAAAGUCCUAGUUGAAAACCAAACUGGUUUGAAACUAAAGUGCCUUCGCACUAACAAUGGUCUGGAAUUCUGUAACAACGAAUUCAAUUCCUUUUCUCUUGAGAAUGGCAUCAAAAGACAUCUCACUAUACCAGGUACCCCUCAGCAGAACGGGACUGCUGAGAGGAUGAACCGUACCUUACUUGAAAAAGCCCGUUGUAUGUUGAUAAGUUAUGGAAUGGGAUUGUCAAUGUGGGGUGAGGCAGUGGUUACAGCUGCCUACCUCAUCAAUCGAUCUCCUUCCUCCACUAUCAACUAAAAAACCCCUCAGGAAAUGUGGAUUAGAAAGAAACCUAUCCUAUCCCACAUUCGCCCUUUUGGUUGCACAGCAUAUGCUCAGACCUCUCAGGGAAAAUUUCUCCCUAGAGCUCUGAAAUGUGUUAUGCUUGCAUAUCCUGAUGGUGUUAAAGGAUAUAAGCUGUUGAUUAUCCAACCUCGUGAUUACAAAGUUAUAUCUGCUUGUGAUGUCACUUUUAAUGAAAGUGAAUUUCCUUUUAAGAAAGAACAUUCUAAUGAUAUCUUUGAUAAGUCUGGACGCCUACAGGACUCCCUAGCCUCCAGUUUUCCUGCAGGAUACUUUUACACACCACCAUCGCGAUUGGAAAAUCAAGAGGAGGAAUUUGACAUUGGGCAUCCGUCCUACGAGGAGGAAACUGGCCAGAAUUGGGAUUCGGAUCCACCUGCAUCAGACUCAAGCCAGCAACUUGAACCUCAUGCUAACAUGGAUCACCUGGAUUUGGAGGGCAUCCUUUCAGGCAUUCAUCUGAAUGCUGAGGUAAGUGGGGAAGCAGUAAGUACAUCUUCCCCAACACAACCCCUUCCUCAUCCUAGUAUUUCACAUGAACUUGUUUCGAUUGUGCCUACUGAGUCUGCUCCCGAUCUCUCCAACUAUCAAUUGGUUAGAGAUCGGGCCCCUGGGUCCAGAAUUCCCAACAGAAAGUUUACUGUCUCCCUAGUCGAGUCCCUCCUUGCUUUCUCUGUUUUUUCUUCUGAAUUGAUCCAUUGUACUGUUCCUGAAACCAUAGAACAAGCCAUUAAAGGUCCCUUCUCUAAUGAGUGGCUCAAAGCCGCCCAUGAAGAGAUGCAAUCCAUGAUUUUCAAUGAGACCUGGUCCCUGGUUACUAGACCUAAGAACACUAGUUUUAUUGACAACAGAUGAAUUUUUAGGAUAAAGGAAGGUACCAACCCGGGUGACCCCCCAAGCUUUAAAGCCAGGCUCGUAGCCAAAGGCUUUACUCAAAAGGAGGGUAUUCAUUACAACGAAAUCUUUGCUCCUGUAGUUAAAUAUAAAACCCUUACGUUGCUGCUGACAAUGGUUGCUGUGUUCGAUUGGGAAUUAGAACAAAUGGAUGUAAAAACUGCCUUCCUACAUGGUGACCUAAAUGAAACGGUCCACAUGAAACAGCCUAAAGGCUUUGUUGAUAAAACCAAACCUGGUCAUGUUUGCCUUCUUAAAAAGUCUAUAUGUGGUCUAAAACAAUCUCACAGGCAAUGGAACAUUAAAUUUGAUUCUUGCAUGAGAAGUUUGGGUUUCACUCGAAGCAAAUUCGACACUUGCCUGUAUUUCAAUCGUUCUACUUCUGUCUCUCACUUGCUUGUGUUGCUAUAUGUGGAUUUGACAUCCUGAUUAUUAGCAAAAAUAAAUCUGCUAUUACUGCGAUCAAACAUGAUUUGAAGAAGCAUUUUGAUAUGAAAGACCUUGGCUGUGCUCAACCGAUUCUAGGAAUCAGAAUUGUUAGAGAUAGAAAUACCAAAACUCUCUUGCUGUCUCAAUCUGUGUAUGUUCUGAAAUUGUUGGAGAGGUUUGCCAUGGUCAGUUCAAAAGGUUCCCCUGUUCCUUUAGGAGCUCACCUAGAAUUGACUAGGACAGACUGUCCUGUCACCCGUGCUGAGAUAGAGUCAAUGAAAGAUGUGCCUUAUCAUGUAGCUGUAGGGUCUGUCAUGUAUGGUAUGUUAUGCACUAUACCUGAUCUUACUUUUGCUGUUAGUGUCUUGAGUAGGUUCAUGUCCAAUCCAGGUCCCAAACAUUGGACGGGCAUGAAAUUUACCCUAAGAUACUUAUCCUGCACUUCCUCCCUAGGGCUCGUUUAUGCUUGUCAUUCUAACAAAGACUUAGUAGGCUUUGUUGACUCUGACUUUGCUGGCAAUAAAGACACUAGAAAGUCAACUACUGGUUACUUCUUCACUUGGGCUGGAAAUUGCAUAUCCUGGAAGUCUCAGCAGCAGUCUAUUGUAGCUCUGUCUUCCACUGAAGCAGAAUACAUAGCUGCUACUGAAGCUUGCAAGGAAGCAAUCUGGCUCUGAGGCUUGCUGAAUGAAAUUGAGGAACAAGAAUAUGUUCCGUCACUCUUUAUGGACAGCCAGAGUGCUCUACACUUAUGUAGAGACCCUGUCUACCAUGAGAGAACGAAGCAUAUUGAUGUUCGCCACCAUUUCAUUAGAGAUGAAGUUGAAAAACGUCAUCUCUCUGUCUCCAAGAUUGCAGGUUCUGAGAAUCCUGCUGAUUUUGGAACUAAGGUUGUCCCUACUGACAAGUUUGUGUUUUGCAGGGACGCGUUGCACAUCCAUGAAGUUGGCUGAGAUGUGGAACUCGAGUAAAUGAUGAACGAGGAGAAGACGAGCUGCUGGAAAUCCGCUUGAUCACGAGAAGUCAGGAGGCUGACCCCUGCUGCAUGGUUCUCUUAGUCAGGAGGGCAUAUGUUGGCCUUAUGACUCAGGCCCAAUGCUAUUAGAACUAAGCCCGGGGCCAUCCGCUGGAUGGGCCAGCCCGUGGUUGGUCCGCAGCCCAGCUAUAUUACGUGCAGGAAGCAGAAGCCUUAGUUGACAGGCGAGACAAGAGAGAGAGAGUGCGCGUGCGAACGAGAAAAGAAGGAGAGAAGACGGAGGGUUUCUCUGGAGAACUGCUUGCGCAGCUAGGGUUUGAGUCAUUGAAGCUUCUGCCGUCGCUUCGAGACCUCAUGGAUAGUGUUUCUCUGAAUCCUUACUCUGUAUUCCUUUUCUUGUGUUGUUGCAUGUUCGUUCUGAGUAGUCCAGUCACUGGCUCUGCUCUUGUACUUGGAUUCUGCUCUUCGUUAUCUAGUAGAUUUCUGGGCUGAGUCUUCCCCUCCUGAGACUCCGCAGAUUAGGGUCUUUGUGACCUGAACUGCGUCAUCAAUCUUGUUGUUGUGGAUGCUUAGUUUCUCGCUUGCUCGAUUUCUCGUCGUUAUUAGCGUUUAGUCAUUCCGCUGCUUGCUCGAUCCUUUUUGUUCACUGUACUUAAAAACGAGUUGAAGAUAGUGAACAUUAUAAAAAAACGAAUACAUGAUAUGAGUUUUAAAAGACAUAAACAUGUCCAUGUCCUUGUACACCACUGUGCCGCGAGUAUUAUACUUGUUUGUAUCGUUCCCACAAACCAAACAUAUAUCAACAAACGAGUAAGAAAUGUCGUUGGAACAAAAUUCUAGAAAAAGUCCCAACGAAGUGGUACGGUGGCCCAUUUUUUGGAGGAGUUUCAGUGAGCGGAAAAAUUCAUCAAAUCUCUAGUUGCUGGCGAAAUUCGGUCGCCAAAACUCUAGUUCCUCCCACCGGAGUCACGCGCUAUUGGUUAUUGUAAAUUACUUUGUAAAAGUGGCUUAUUAGCACAAAUUUUUCAUCCAAUUUUUUAUAAGCCAAUAUAUCAUUACAAGAGUUAGGAACCAAAAUCAACAUAACAUCAAUAUUCAACUGCUUAUAUGUGAUGUGUUAUAGAUUUGAACUCAAUAUCUUUAAUUAAUUGUGCGAUUUAACUAUUCCAUGAACCUUCCCAUCAAAUACAAAGAAAAUGUCCAUUGCCGUGAACCUGGCUCCACCGGCGCCUUUGUGAAUUGUAGACUGAAUAUUUGGGUGUUUAGGUUUUCUAUAGUAGGUAAGCUGAAUUGAAUCUGUACUCUAUUACUCUCUACUUUCCCUAAUUUAAUCGCAAUCAUAAAAAUUGAAUAAACAACUAAUAUACUAUUAGAAUUUUAACUUGUAAGUUAGUUGAAUGAACGAUUACACAUCAAACUCCGAAUUCACAGUGUAGACCAAGUAGGGAAGCCAACUUAUUACAAUUACUCUAUCUGGUCAAGAACUUCAAGGACUGUUGCGAACCGUUGGAUCAACUUUUAAAUUUCAUGGUCUGUUAAAUGAACUCAGGAUCUUUUAGUCUUUGCAAAUUAUUUCUUAGUUUCAAAAUGCUCCUGCCAGCUCCACACCACUAGCAAAUCCCAUGCGAAUCUCCGACUUUUCCGGCAACCCUUUACACCCAAACGGCUUGUCUGGCGUCCUCUGCUAGUUUUGGUGGUCGCGAAGAAGAGAAAUCCAAGGAAGGAGGAUAAGAUUUCUGUCGCUUAAACCCAAGCAGUUGUUCGUUUGACGUUUUUGCCCCCGCAUAAAAGCUGACCGUUAGAUCAAAUUCUGUGAAUUUGAAUAGGUGAGAUGAAUCCUUGAAAUGUGCACUCUUGAUUUGAAUUGAGAGCCAGCCGUUUCCUUUGUCCCGCCGGCGUCUCUCUUUUCUUUUGUUACAAGUUACAAUCGAGGACCGGCGUCUCUCGUUUCCCUCUUUUUUUUUUUAAAGAAAUAUAUUAUAUGCAAUUUUAAUUAAAAAGAAGUUAAAAAACGAAGGAAGAAGAAGAUACAGAAUCGCAAACAUAUUAUUUAUUAAUUAAUAAAACAGGCUGCUAACUCUACCCUUCGUGCAUGCAGCCGCUUGCUAUGCUCUACUUUACAAGUAUAAAAAUCAAACCCUUUGUGGGUGGAAUUGGAACAACUUCACGGGACUCGCAGCCGCUGCUCCUACCUAUCUCACCCCAGCAACUUCAUCUCUGGUCUCUGCAUUCCGUGUUUUUGUCUUCGAAUGGCCGACCACCCAAAUGAUCCCGCCGCCGUUGAUGUUGUGUCAGACAGUAUUCCAGGGCUUUCAGCUAUAAUUCCUGGGUGGUUCUCCGAGAUCAAUCCUUUGUGGCCAGGUAACGCUUCUCAAUUACACUGUUGUCAUCAUCAGUUCACUUGUGCUGAAUGAAUUUGGUAGUUUGGCUUUGCUUUGAUUUGUCAACUGUUCAGGAGAGGCUCAUUCAUUGAAGGUGGACAAAGUUUUGUUUCAAGGGAAAUCGGAAUACCAAAAUGUUGUCGUGCUCCAGGUAAUGUCGUUGUUCCUUGACGGAAAGUUUUUAAGUAGUCUGGUCGCUCUCAUGUGUAUGUAUAUAUGGUACUAGGAUAUUUGAAGGGUAAUUUGAUGGUCGACGCUGUUGUUGGUUUUCAGUCUGCAACGUACGGAAAGGUUCUUGUAUUGGAUGGGGUGAUUCAACUUACAGAAAGAGAUGAGUGUGCAUACCAAGAGAUGAUUGCCCAUCUCCCACUAUGCUCCAUACAAACCCCUAAAAAGGUUUUGCCUGCUUACAGAAAAUUGCAGCGGCUCCUGUUUUUCUUUGUCUAAUCUGUAACUUUCAUAGAACCAAAUGUUUAAUUUUCAAAUGUAAAGAUAUGUCAAGUUGAUUGUUUUAGGUGUUGGUUAUCGGAGGUGGUGAUGGAGGGGUUAUUCGUGAAGUUUCUCGCCACUCCUCUGUUCAACAGAUUGAUAUGUGUGAAAUUGAUGCCAUGGUGGUUGAUGUGAGUUCUACAACAUCAUCUUCUUUUGUUGUUGUUUUUUUGCCCGUUUCUGUUGUCUGAAGUGCUUAGCUUGCUUUGUGAAUUUUGCUAAAUAGUUCGAUACCUGAAAUUUCAUCUUCUAUCUGUGGUCUCUGCUUCCUUUCUCAGGUUUCCAAGAAGUAUUUCCCUGAUGUAGCAGUUGGAUUUCAAGAUCCUCGUGUCAAUCUCCAUAUUGGUGAUGGUAUUAUCUCGUUAAUCUUUCUAUCUCAUUUUUCAUUCAUCAUGAACUGAUGAUCUAUUCAACCUUGUAGGAGUUGCUUUCCUAAAGGCUGUUCCACAUGGUACUUACGAUGCUGUCAUAGUAGAUUCCUCCGAUCCAAUUGGUAUGUGCCUGGUAAAAAAAUACCAGCAGCAAGUUCAUUUAAAUGUUCCGGAUGAAGCAAGUCUCACUGGUAUAACUCAUUUCAGGGCCUGCAAAAGAGCUGUUUGAGAAACCUUUCUUUGAGUUGAUUGCCAAGGCUCUUCGCCCUGGCGGUGUGGUUUGUACACAAGCAGAGAGCUUGUGGCUCCACAUGCAUCUCAUACAAGACAUCGUUUCAAACUGUCGCGAAAUCUUCAAGGGUUCUGUCAACUAUGCCUGGACUACGGUUCCUACAUAUCCUAGGUAGGACACUUGGAGUGUUUUUACCUACAUUGUUUGUAGGAUAAUUCUCUAAACAUGAUCAAGUGAUUCUCUGCAGUGGAAUGAUUGGCUUCAUGCUUUGCUCUACUGAGGGACCAACAGUCGACUUCAAGAAUCCGGCGACUCGAGUUGAAGCUUAUGGUAGUAACACCCGAGUUAAAGGGCCAUUAACAUUCUACAAUGCUGAGGUGAUGUACUUACAUCUGCACAUCCAAUUCAUCUCAGUGCCCAGCCAGUUAUAUGAUGUUUCUUUCUCAAAAAAUGCAAUAUAUUUUGAUUCCGUAUUUCGAUAUGUCCAGAUUCAUGCUGCAGCUUUCUGUUUGCCAUCAUUUGUGAAGAAAGCAAUUGGAUCAAAGCUCAACUGAAAGAAAGAUAAGCUGGGAAAGAUGUGCACAAGGGAAAAAUCAAACAAUAGUUUACUUCCGCAACAAUUCAUUAUGAUAUUAUAGAGUGGAAUAAUAUGAAGUUAAGUGCAUGCUUAUAUGUUCCAACAUUAUUUAGCAAUUUAGAUUACAAUGCCUUUUCUUGUGUUGCUACUAUCUUAUCUGAGUGAUCUUAAUUACAGAACUGGUUUACUGUAUAGUUGCAUCAGUUGCUCGUCCCUGCUCGAAAUCGACCUUCUUAUCCAAGAACCUUUUCUUACAGUCGUAAUAGUAGACAGUGCAAACAACCCACUUCAUUACUUCUCCUAAGCAAUCUCCAAUGGCAAUCAGUGCUUGGAAACCGGUUACAUAUCCAUACGACCAGAUCAGAGCGACCCUCCAUAGCCAAAAUAUAAGCAUCAAGAGGAACCCUGUCUUUGUGUUGCCUCUGCUGAUAUAUCCAGAAACACCAAUUCCAACGUAGCCAUGCUUCCCUUCCAGGAUUGAUAUCACUCACCAAACCCAUGCUCCAAAUCGCACUCCAUUCCAAGUACUUGAUCAGCAAACCAACCGAUAUCAGCCCGAAGAAAACUUGGAAGGCCAGUCUGACAUGUAGAACUGGAUUCCAAACGAUGCCAAUCCAGCCCAAUUCAACAGAGACAAUGCCAGAGGAUACAAGGAUGUCAUCAAGGGUCCUUUCAGGUUGGCUUCUCUCAAUGUUGGGAACAACAAUUCCUUCCAGGAACUAGCCUCAUUUCCUGAGUAAACAAAUUAUGCUGAAUGAACAACAAUAACCGUGUUGAUGAAAUUCAACAACUGGGCGAUACCCAGAUAGAGGAAAGCCAAGAUGAAGAUUGUUUCACUAGUGUUGUGUAUCAUACCCAUGAAUAUGAUACUGUAAGCUGACCACCAUGGGUUAAAUAUACAGAACCCCAUCCUUGGAUCGCAAAAGUUCUGACGAGCAAGUAACUCGUCUACUAAGGCUGGAAAAUCGGUUUCGGUUAACCGAUUAACCGAUCGACUCGAUUAGAGGAAUGGUUUAACCAAGGUCGAGGGCGGUCGGGGAACGGUUAAGAGUCAUUGUUGGAGUCGGUUAAACUGUUAAUCGGUUAAAAACACCGGUUGACUCGAGUUAACUGACGUUAACCGGUAAUAAAAAAAUCAAAAGCACUCCACUAAAGAAACUACUUCGUGCCUGUAUGCCGUCAAUUUUUCUGCUCAAGGCGAUCGGUUAACCUAUGAUUUAUUCGGUUAACCAAUGCAUCGGUCGGUCAAAUUUGGUCAUUUAACCGAUUGGUUGGUUAUCGAUCGGUCAGAUUAACCGUGAGCUCUGCUCGAUCGAUUAAUUCGGUUAAUUAAUUUCAUACAUUAAAUUAUUUUCCCCAACCGUUAACCGACGGUUAAUAACCGAAUUAACCGACUUUCAUGUCUAUCGUCUACUGCAUUGGAGACGCGGUGAAAACGGAGAUGCUGGAAAAGCAAUAAGGUUAGAGGAAGGAGAGAAAUUAGGAAAGCAAGGGGAAUGAAGGUUGUUGAAUUUCUGGCUGGGAUUCCUUUAUAAUGCCCCAAGCCUCUAAUUUUAGUUUCGACAUGAUUUGGCAGUUAUCCAUCUCUCGUGUUUGUUUGGGAAAACUUAAGAUCAAAUGGUGUUUCAAAGAGAAGACUGAGAGUAUGGUCCUUUAAAUGGAUGGAUGGAUGGAACCUUGUUCAUAUUAGGAUGAGUGUAUUGACUUGUGGUUUUGGAGGGGGGGAGUUGACUGGCGAGUGGGAGACGAGUAGGUACUUGCAAUCUUAUUAUAAUUUUAUGUUUUGAAAUUGGUAUAUAACGCAUUAUAUUUUAUUACAAAAUAUUCAACAUUGCUCUAACAUUUGUAUUUGAUAGUUGAAAUGACAUAAACGCUACUGAAACAAUAAAAUUAUAAUUUAUUUAUAAAAAGCGGAAAAUCAAAGAGUUAUUAUACCACUUGAAACGACCCAUCAAAAGUGACUGUUUAUACCGCUGUUCCAACGCCGCUGUCGUUCCGCCGCUUCCGUCGUCCUGCCGCCCACCACCGUCAUUUUCCCCCCCCCCCCCCCCCUGAGUUAUAUGUCUCGCUCCNNNNNNNNNNNNNNNNNNNNNNNNNNNNNNNNNNNNNNNNNNNNNNNNNNNNNNNNNNNNNNNNNNNNNNNNNNNNNNNNNNNNNNNNNNNNNNNNNNNNNNNNNNNNNNCUGUCCCGCUUUCCUGAGAUCCGCUGUUGCCGGCCGCUGUUGACGUACGAAUUUACCAAAAGAUUUUAAAUAUGUCACUAAUAUUUACUAAUUCACCUUAAUUAACAUGACUAAUUACUAAUUUUUAAAUAAUAAUGAAAUAAAUAUUCAAUUAUCAAGUAUUUAAUUACACAAUAAUUGUUACUAUAUUUACUUAUAUUUACUAAUUCACCUUAAUUAGCAUGACUAAUUAUUAAUUUCCAAAAAUUAAUUAAAAGCAAGGACCUAAAUCCUAAACCCCCCAUCUCUAAACCCUAAACCCUAACCCCUAAAUGCUAAACCCUAAAUCCUACUUCUAAGCCCUAAACUAGAAACCCUACAAAUAAAGAAAAGAUAACAUUUAGAAUACCCGCAUGAAAAUUUCACUCCAUGUCCUAUGAAUAUCCAAUGUAAAUUAAUUCUUUCUUCAUAAUAUAUGACACAUGCAAAUUAAUAUAUGUCUUAAUUAGUAUUAUGAAGAAAGAAGUCAUUUGCAUGGGAUAUGCAUGAGACAUGCAUGGAGUGGAUUGCAUGGGACAUGCAUGUAAAUGUAGUGGAAUGUAGGGUUUAGGGUUUAACGGUGGGGGUGGGGUUUUUGGAACCCCAAACAAAAAACCCAAAACCCCAAACACAUACUCAACAACANNNNNNNNNNNNNNNNNNNNNNNNNNNNNNNNNNNNNNNNNNNNNNNNNNNNNNNNNNNNNNNNNNNNNNNNNNNNNNNNNNNNNNNNNNNNNNNNNNNNNNNNNNNNNNNNNNNNNNNNNNNNNNNNNNNNNNNNNNNNNNNNNAAUGCUAACCCCAAACCCCUAACCGCUAAAUCCUAAAUCCAAUCUCUAAAUUCAAACCCCUAACCCUAAACCGUUAAACCUUAAAGCGCAAAACCCUAAACCUUAUCCCUAAACCUUUAUUGUCACUAUUAUUACUCAAACUUAGAGAUUCACCUUAAUUAACAUGAGUAAUGAACAUGACUAAUUACUAAUUUCCAAGUAGUAAUGAAAUAAAUAUUCAAUUUCCAGGUAUAUAAUUACCAAAAUAAUUGUUGCUACAUUUACUUAUAGUUACUAAUUCACCUUAAUGAGAAUGACUAAUUACUAAUUUUCAAAUAUUAAGUAACUAAUUAUUCAAUUACCAAGUAUUUAAUUACCAAAUGAAUUGUUACUAUAAUUAAUUAUACUUAAUAAUUCACCUUACUUAUCAUGACUAAUUACAUUUUAAUAAUAAAAACAUAAAAAUUAAAAAAAUUGGCCAUCGGCAUUGAACGCUGACUGUCCUCAAGGCCGUCGGCAUUGUACGCCAACAGUGAUGUCUAGGAGGUCGGCAUGGCGACCAAAAUAUAAUUUUUAAAUUUUUAUUUAUUUUAAAUUACGGAACUGUAUAGUUUUAAUUAUAUGAUAACAUGUACGGGUUUUUUAAAUAUUAUUCAUAAUUACAUUUUUAUUACAUUUGAAUGUAAUUAUUUGAAAUCAUAAAGUAUUAAUAUUAAUUAUGAAAAUGAAUAGUAAUUAGAGUUUAGGUAUUUUAACUCAUACAUUAGUACUAUUACUUAGUGAAAUUAAUAGUAAUAAUUUAUGCAAUCGUAGUCGUUUAUUGAUGAUAAUGAAUAAUUAAUAAUAUUAUGUAUAGUUAAUAUGUUCCACCUAUCUAACUAUUGCAGUUGAUGAUCGGUACAAUUAUUGUAUGGGAAGACAGAAGCGUAGUCAUGGGCCAUUCGGUAAGUUCUCGUUGUUGUACAAAAUGUAUUAUUGUGAAUCGUAGGUUUAAUGUCUCUUAUGUAGUGAACGAAUACUAUGAACAUAGUACACCGACUGAUACGUUUUGUAAUACCAUGUUUAGGAAAGUUAUAGUGGCGAUGAUGAUGUUGAGGAAUAGUUGAAUUAUGGCGUUUAUUUCAUCAACGGGGUGUUUUACGACACAUUCGAUGACGCGUGUGAUACGGCUAAGGAUAUUGCUUUAGACUUAGGGCUUCAAUUGACUUGUGGCUCACAUAAGAAGAAACCCCAUGAAGAAAAAAAAUGGUUGUACUUGUAUUGCUCGCAUGGUGGCAGGGGCAAAUCACAGUCAAUUGCCUCUUCAGAGAAUUCACGGAUGACUAUAACAUCGUACUCAGGUUGUACGUUCAUGGUGUGUGUGCGGCCUAGAAGCGUUGAAGCUGAGUGGAAAUGGAGGAUUGACACUGUAAAAAUGAUGUAAAAUGUGGGAUUUUUAGGUCAUUCCACAACCACUAGUUUGAGUUGUGGCGUGAAGGGACACAACAACGGAAUAAGCUCAUAGACGAGAUGAAAGACCACAUUAGAUAAUUGGAGAAACACCACGUCCCCCCAAGACAGAUACAGAGCAUACUCAACAGUGAGUACGACCGUAUGAUCAACAUGAAAUAGAUUUAUAAUGAGACAACAAAAAUAAGGUGGUUGAGGUUGGGAAGCAUGAACCCCAUGCAAUGGAGGGUGACCAAAGCGCUGAAAUUGAGAUACUUCAAGAAAUACCUAAAGGAUGCAAAUGACCAUGUCAGUGAUCUGUACAUGUCACACGCAGAGUGAAUUCGUAUGUUGCACGCUUGGUAUUUUAUCGUCAUAAUAGACUCCACUUACAAGACCAACGUUUACAAGAAGGCGGUUGUGCAGUUUGUAGGUGUGACGCCGGUCAAGAAAAACUUUAAUAUUGGGUUGGCACUUGUGGAAGAUGAAACAAAAGAGUCAUACGCUUGGGCACUGAAUCAAUUGCGAUUCGUUCUUGGUGGUCGAGUGCCAAAUCCCGUCGUUACGAAUAAGGAACAUGGAUUGACGAUUGCACUACAUGAUGUAUUCUCUUAUUCGGCUCAUUUGCUUUGUGUCUGGCACAUGAAGAGGAACAUCGAGGGAAGGGUAACCAAGUUGUAUUACAAAGAGAUCGCCGAAAAAUUCUUACGAGGUCCAUGGGGACAAGUGUUGAAUGCUAGAACCAGCCAAAUGUUUUUCAGGAAAUGGAGUAAUCUGGUUGAAGGUGGUUGGACUGGAGAUCUAGUACAAUAUCUGCCAUCAGAGUGGCUCCCUUCAAAACAGAAGUGGGUGCGUUGCUACAUGAACAUGGUGUUUUAUCUACGUAACACAAGCACAAAUCGGGUGGAAUCGGCACACUCAUCCUUGAAGGCUUGGCUGCACACCUUGAUUAGUAAGGCUGCUGGACUAUUCUGUGCAUACGAUCAACUAAUGCGAACAGCCCCAAUCACGGAGCCGAGGAUGUAUUUGAUGUUUCAGAUUAAGGGGGGGAUGGUUACAAUGUUUGUAUUAACACUUUGAAAUGAUGUUCUCAAUUUGUCUUUAUGGCUACUUUUUGGACAUACUACCACUAUGGAUGCAAAUAUAGGUAGAAUGAAGUGUUGUAUGGAACCACUGACAGAAGUUACAAAAAUCCUGAAUGUCCGCUACAUAAAUACCUCACAUACAGUGCAACUGAACUAAAAGUUCUGAUCAUGUCAGCGAAAUGAAAAUACAAUCUCAAUAGAAAUUUUCCGAAUGAAAGCUGGAAAAACAAUACAUAACGUUAAACGGAAAACAAUUAGCUCGGGGAAUACUCGGUCCACAACCCUCACAUGACAUCAAUCAUUUUGUAGUACUCCCACGUCCGAUCAGCGAGCUCGUUCGGUACACCACACUGGUACAAGGGGGCCAAACAGGCGCAGAAAGAACGCAUAGCCUGCUCUGCGUGUGUACCGAAAAUAAAAUGAGUAACAAACAGUACAAAAAUGAUUUGAACCAACGGUGGAAGUUGCAAAUCUGCUGCGCGCGUGGGGACGAUCACUGGGUGUGUGCGGUCCAGGUACCACGCCCUGUACCCAGCAGUCGUGUUACUGUCAGGCGAUCCAGACACAUUGCAAGUGCUGAAGAACGAGAAAGCCAGCAACUGCUCAAUCCGGUUGUAGUCAAACCUGUAGUGCUUGACUGCAUACUACGUCCCAUCUGCCGGCCGCGAUGCUGAACCGGGCGUGAGUAUCACAUUAGGGAUCGGCUAUCGAUAGUCGUACUGUCGCAACACGCGACAGCGAUCUAGUGUUGCUCUGCGGAAUGUUUUGGUUUGAUUGAUUACGGUCUCUGAAUUUUAAACGGAAAGCAGAGCAAUGUCAGAAAUCUGAUGCUGAGAUCUGUAGUAGGUAGGAGGAAUGUGAUUAUUUCUAAUUGAUUAGGUUCAUUCACUUGACAUAAAAUUUAGUUUAGUCUAGUUUUUAAUUGGUAGAAUUUCUGGUUCAUUGAAUUUGUGAAAUAGCUAGUCACGAAAACAGAGCAUAAUCAAAAUUUUGAUGCCGACAUUUUCAAGUAGGUGAAAAUCAACUUUUCUAAUUGACAGUAAAUCCUUACUAGAGCUUGUCGAGAUUGAAGCUUCCAAAUUGGGUGACGACUAGGGCACAAACGAGAUACGUAACGAGUGUGAUUAGGAAGUACGGGAAAGAAAGAAUCCAUUCAACGAAAUCGACCUAGAUGAGAUGGUCAGCACUAAGCCUCGCAUAACCAAUCAAGGUGAAUCAUUAAAUACAUCAAAACUACCACAUUAGUAACUUUCUUCACAACUAAAAGCUUAGGAGAAACUUGCUCACUAGGCAAUCAAUGUUUUGUGAUGAUAAGUUUUACACUUACUCAAAUAAAAAUUGAUUUUGGUUCAUGUAAAAAGAUGGAUUAGGAAGAAGGCGAGGGAAGAGUAUAUGGAGAUUGAAUUGGAAUUCUAAACUGUUAAUAUAUAUUUGAAUGAUGAAAAUAAAUAUUUAUUAAUUGAUAUAAAAUAUUGAAAUAUUAGAGUGACAAGUUUGUAAAAGUAUUUAAAGUCUAAGACUAUAAAUGAUAUGUGUAAUUAAGGUUUUAAAUUAAAUUUAUUAUCCAUCGUCGAGAUCGAUCACUUAAAAUGGACGUUUAAGAUAAAUCUAUUACCAAAAAAAACUAACCAUACCAAACAUUUCGGUAUACCAAGUAUAGCACGAAGGACUGACCCCGAACCACCCACCAGGGUGUUGAUAACUGUUGUAGGAGUAGAGUGAAGGUGAUUCAGGAUGUGGCAUUAUGGAUUUGAAUUUUGAAAAUGAUCAUUUAAGAUGUUUUGAGACCUAUUUUCACCAUUUAUGAUAUUGUUUCUUAUACUAGUGUUAAUUAAAGUCUUUAUCGAGUUAUUAUUUAUUUUAUUUUAAAAUACUCUAACCGAAACAUUUUAUUAAAUAGUCAAGAUAUGUUAAAAGUUCGUAAAACCCUUAUUAAAUUUUAGAUUUUUGCUAUUUAAGGACAAUUUAGUUAAUUAAUAAAUUAUAAAAAAUGAGGUUAGCAAUUUGCAGCUUCCAAGCGGUUGUUUCACGGAUGUAACCUCCAUCGGUCUUGGUCAUGGAGAAAAAGGAAAAUAUGUUUAACGAUUCAACGACAUAUAUAAAUGAGUAACGACGAGAUGAAUACAAUAAUAAAGAGGAAAUGAAUGUUAUUAUUCUUCAAUGGAAAGGAGUUCAAUUAUAGAUGGAAUUAAUAUGGACUAAGGCAUGAGAAGGUGAUCAGGGUCUAGUGGUGGUUAUUGUUGUCAUUGUUGCGGCCUUGUUGAUUUCCAAUCCCAAAUCCAAACCCCAUUCCAAUCCCAAACCCCAUGCCCAUUCCAACACCACCUUCGUUUUCACCAACUCCGAACCCGCUACCUUCUCCAUGUCCAUAUCCUUCACCAUUACCACCUCCACCUCCGCCGCCACCUCCGCCACCUCCUCC
rnacentral:lncRNA from 1 species